GACGAACGCUGGCGGCGUGCUUAACACAUGCAAGUCGAACGGUGACCCAGGGCUUGCCCUGGUGAUCAGUGGCGAACGGGUGAGUAACACGUGGGGCAACCUGCCCCUGACUUCGGGAUAACUCCUCGAAAGAGGAGCUAAUACCGGAUACGACCACUUCGGACAUCCGAUGGUGGUGGAAAGUUUUUCGGUCAGGGAUGGGCCCGCGGCCUAUCAGCUAGUUGGUGGGGUAAUGGCCUACCAAGGCGACGACGGGUAGCCGGCCUGAGAGGGCGACCGGCCACACUGGGACUGAGACACGGCCCAGACUCCUACGGGAGGCAGCAGUGGGGAAUAUUGCGCAAUGGGCGAAAGCCUGACGCAGCGACGCCGCGUGAGGGAUGAAGGCCUUCGGGUUGUAAACCUCUUUCUAGCAGGACGAAGCGAAAGUGACGGUACCUGCAGAAGAAGCACCGGCGUAACUACGUGCCAGCAGCCGCGGUAAU
rnacentral:rRNA from 1 species